AUAACAACUCUCUGGUAUCGAUGAGAUUGUGAUAUUUCCCUUUGAGUCGACAUGUGUAUCAGUCCGCCCGGUGCUAAUUACUCAACCUGUUGAAGUUUCUCUUUGACAUCGUGAUUCAGUGGCAAAAUGUUUUAGAGAGAUUAUACGGUACCCAAAAGUCGGAGGGGUGUGGCCACGGGUGUGGUGACCGCCAGUGUCUCUGAGGGAAGCCAUGGAGCUGCAGGAGGACGCAAGCUCCGCACAUAACUACGGGUUUUCCUCAGGGACUUGACCGCUCCUGGUCUUCAGAAAGCUAUAUGAGCCUGCUUAAGGACAACUUUGUGAAAAGGCAAGCUUCUCUACACAUCUUGAAAUGCUGCCUGGAGCUCCGCCAACUGUCUGCUACAAACAUGGGAGCUUGGCAGCGGAGGAGGAGAGCUUCAGGGCUGCACCGUGUCCAUCGGAGUUGUUUAUAUACCGCGCUGCAAGGUUCGUGGAGAUCACCCGGCCUGCAGACUAUGGGAGAGGGAGCACUCACUGCUGUGGGCUGCUGUGUGGAAUAACUUGUACACGCAAUGGAAGAAAACGAUUGUAACGGCCUGGUCCCAUGGUGAUGCGGAUUUCGUUCUCCCAGGAAUGCAGACGGGCUUCGGACACAGCGUGCAGGGAGGGGUGGUGAUAUUUUGUACGCAGAGAGCUUCAUGGAUUGGGUUUCCAUGGCUGAUCAGCUGCAUCUAAGCAAUAGAUCACCAAGUCCCACAGCACUCUAGAGCAGCGAAGACACCUCUUCUGAAGUGAUGAAUCACACUUUUCCAUCUGGCAAUCUGAUGGACGGAGAACGCCAUGAAUCAAGCCAAAGAGGUGACUGCUAUACAACAGGACAGGCGGUAUUUGGGGACAAGCUGCAGCCUAUCAAAAUUGGCCUGGCUCCUGACUGUUCCGCUGGGCAAGAAAGAACUUGGUGAGGACCCACAAUGGAAAGACCGCUUUCUUUCUUUGUGUCCGUCUAGCAGAAAAAACAUUCAAAGUUACGAUCUGUGCUUCUGAAGGAUAACACUAUGCAAACGGAAAACCACUAAGAUGUUUGUCAGACAACAUGAGGUCUCCGGUCUGGAUUAACUCACUGAGGGAUGCAAAUCCACUCACGCACAACAGUGUGUUGAUCAAGUGGAAAAGAAAAUGACUGUUGAAUACUAAACCCACCACAAAGUGCCAUCUCAUUGAGUAUUUGCCGACAUGUGAGUCAACCCUUUUAUGUGGAGUCCAUUUUGGACCACAACAACAUACAUACAGCAAUGAUGUCUCUCAACUCGAGACUUGUAGAUGUAACAAUUGGAUUUAGAGUGGACUGUGAAUGAAAAAUAUUUUUAAUCUACAAUCACGAUACAAGUGCGAUUGUCCAUUGAGACACAUUACAACGAAAUAAGGAAAAGAUACAGAACCAAUAGAUUUGAACAGUGCGUAUGCAGCGUGGCCCAAAGGGCAGCUGGGGAAAAGUAAAGAGGCAGGCAAAAAGAUGAGGAACACUAUAUUGACAAAAUUAUUUGGCUACCCAUCCAAAUGAUGAGAAUCAGGUGCCCUAAUUACUUGGCCUGGUGUAUACAAUAAAGCAUUUAGGCACUGAGACUGUUUCUACAAACAUUUGUGAAAGAAUGGGCCACUCUCAGUGAUAUCCAGCGUGGAACUGUCAUAGGAUGCCACCUGUGCAACAUAUCCAGUCGUGAAAUUUCCUCGCUCCUUAAUAUAUAAGAAAAGUGAAAAGUUUGGGAACAACAGCAACUCAGCCACAAAGUGGUAGGCCACGUAAACUGACAGGGAAGGGUCAGCGGAUGCUGAAGCGCAUAGUGCAAAGACUUCCUGCACAGUCAGUUGCUACAGACCUCCAAACUUCAUUCGACCUUCGAGUUAGCCCACGUACAGUACGCAGAGAGCUUCAUGGACUGGUGUCCGUGGCCGAGCAACUGCAUUUAAGCCAUAC